rnacentral:rRNA from 1 species
AGACGUCUACAUUAGAUACCCGGGUAGUCCCAGCCGUAAACUAUGCGCGUUAGGUGUAUCGGUGACCACGAGUCACCGAGGUGCCGAAGGGAAACCGUGAAACGUGCCGCCUGGGAAGUACGGUCGCAAGGCUGAAACUUAAAGGAAUUGGCGGGGAGCACCACAACGGGUGGAGCCUGCGGUUUAAUUGGACUCAACGCCGGGAAGCUCACCGAAUAAGACAGCGGAAUGAUUGCCGGGCUGAAGACUCUGCAUGACUAGCUG